ensembl:lncRNA
GGAAGGGCAGAGCAGUCACUUCUGGUUCCUGCUCCCAGACUCAUUAGACAAAUCACUCCACUCUGCGGGGGCGUCCCUCACUGAGGAGUGCCCACCAACGGAGCUCAGUCCACGGGGAGGAAAGCUUUUUCUACAAAUCUCUCUUAAAAAUACAUUAAGUAAUAUUUUUGAGAAUCAAGUGGCACACAACUAGCCUUGCUGAAAGACGAAAUGAGUAAAUAAUUGACCACAGAUUCAACAAGUCUUUGGUAUGGGGAGAAAACAGGCUGUGAACUCAACCGUGGAACCAGAACCAACCCGUAGGAUUCCCAAAGGAAAUAGUUUUCCAGAUAGGAUGUCCUAACCCACCCAGCCAAGGAUGGAUUAAAGUGAAAGUGAAGUCACUCAGUCAUGUCUGACUCUUUGCGACCCCAUGGACAGUAGCCUGCACCAGGCUCCUCCGUCCAUGGGAUUUUCUAGGCAAGAGUACUGGAGUGGGUUGCCAUUUCCUUCUCCAGGGAAUCUUCCGGACCCAGGGAUCAAACCCAGGUCUCCCGCAUUGCAGGCAGACGCUUUACCGUCUGAGCCACCAGGGAAGUCCCAAGGAUGGAUUGCUGUUUGCAAAACCAGUGGGCUAGUGGCUUCUUUGUGCAAAUUUAACACAUGGCCACAGGAGAAGGAUUCGGACUUUUGGUGUUGUUUUAUCUGGGACUGGGGAGGGAAGGGACUGGCUGAGUGGGCAUACAGAGGGUGGCAGGAAUGGGGUCCCCCUCCCUGCUCUUCCCAUCAGCCUGCCUGUUGAGUAGCUUUGGGUUCCCUACCUAUGCAGAGAAGGCUUAGGGCUGAAGGAACUGUGUUCUUAAAAGACUCUGUGAGAGCCUGGACCUAAACGUGCAGGUGUAUAUAGAACCCUGCCCCAGGCCUGCCCAGACAGGACGCCACUGUGUGUCCUGAGCAUGGAGACUGGCCAAAACCCUCUCAGGAGGGACUGGAAGAGCAGGGAUUUUAUGAGGGCAGCAGAAACAGUGGGGAGAUUCCAGGGUCUGAAAAGCAGGAGACACACUCUAGGGGGAGAGAGGUGUAGACGUGCAGGUGGAAGCUAGGAGUGUAGGUAAUCCUGGCAUUCGUGACAGAAUCACCUCACUUACACCCACAACUACUGAUGCCCUUGUCUCGAUUUGUUUCCUGAUGUGAAUGGAUAUUUCUCUUAUCACACUUUGGUUUCUUACUGAUCAGAAGCAGUGUCCAUUCAGUCUGGUUCCCCAUACAGUUUCCCAAACCGGUGGCAGUUUCCCAGUCUUUGAGCCAAGAGACUCUGAGAACCUGUGAUGUAGCCGCUCUCCCUUUCUUUGGGUAGAACAGCAUGGAAUACUAAUUCAGAAGUAAACUGGAAUAUUAUACUUUAAAACAAACCUUUCUAGAAAUACUUUCCCAGUGAUAUCCUGAGAGAAGUUAGUCAUACCUUGGAGUUCAUUCAACACUGGGUCAGAAAUUUAUUGGCUAAGGAAUACAGCAGAAGUGAUCUUCUGGCCCCCUGAUCAAGAUCUGGCCC